GCGGCGUGCCUAAUACAUGCAAGUAGAACGCUGAAGGAGGAGCUUGCUCUUCUGGAUGAGUUGCGAACGGGUGAGUAACGCGUAGGUAACCUGCCUGGUAGCGGGGGAUAACUAUUGGAAACGAUAGCUAAUACCGCAUAAGAGUAGAUGUUGCAUGACAUUUGCUUAAAAGGUGCAAUUGCAUCACUACCAGAUGGACCUGCGUUGUAUUAGCUAGUUGGUGGGGUAACGGCUCACCAAGGCGACGAUACAUAGCCGACCUGAGAGGGUGAUCGGCCACACUGGGACUGAGACACGGCCCAGACUCCUACGGGAGGCAGCAGUAGGGAAUCUUCGGCAAUGGACGGAAGUCUGACCGAGCAACGCCGCGUGAGUGAAGAAGGUUUUCGGAUCGUAAAGCUCUGUUGUAAGAGAAGAACGAGUGUGAGAGUGGAAAGUUCACACUGUGACG
rnacentral:rRNA from 1 species